CGUGUGUUCACCAGUGAGCACAACUGCCAUCCAGCAGCCGUGAGAGCAGAGCUGAGAACUUCCUGCCCUCUAGGGAGAAGGGGAAGCUGCCUUGUGUUAGAGGCCAGCCAGCAAGCCACAGGCAGGAAAUGCUGACUGUGUUCUCGGAGUUUGCAAAAGGCCCAACAGGAGGGCCACCUCGGAAAAAGAAGCAUACACUGCAGAUGAAAGGGGAAAGAUGUCAACUUGACGGAAGGAAGAUGAUCUGUGGUCCAGGAUUCAAGAGGCUGAAACGGCGUACCACACUUGGCAGUUGCUAUGACAACAGCAGCGAGUGCUUGCUGGGUACCUCGAUCCUGAUCCCAAGAGCUUUUCUGCUGCCUUUUAAAAACAGGUACGAAAGGAGACUCCAAUCAUUUCAUCCCCUUCUCACUCAGUCCUUUCAGAAGCAGAGAAGGGAGCAGGUAGGCAGAAACCCAGAGAGGGCCCGUCUCUGCCUUGGGUUUUCUCCGUGCUGGGAACUGCUGUGCUCAAACCCUGGGUCCCAGAGCCUGCGAGGGACGAUACGCUGCCCGACAAGCAUGUUCCUCUGGGGUUAACUCAGCCUUUGCAGCGACUCGGGACAUUUACCGUGGGCUGGAGGCCUUCGUGUAAAGCACCUUGUCACUUUUAUUGCUUCUCUUCGAAGAAAUAUUUGCACGAUUUUGAUUUUAUUAAUAGAUAUAUGUUUCUCGUAGCAAGAAAGGAUUCUUUGCAGACAGGAAUAUAUUUGGGUUUUCUCACAACCUUUCAAAGUAUCAGCCCCGGGUUUGGAAUUCACUCUCCGUAUCAGGAGAUGGGGGUUGAAAGAAUUUCUCAGACGUGACCCGUGAAGAGGAACAGGCCAGCUGAGGAGGCUGCUUUUAGCAGCACCCGUCGUGCAGACCUCCUGGUCCGGCCGGAGCAGAAAGGGCACAUUCUCACCUUCUCCCUACUGUGCCCCCUUCCAAAGAAGCCCGCGGUGCCCACAGUCACUGAGAGUCAGGAAGAAUCAGAAAAGACGGCAGCUGAGAAAUCUCCUAAAUUGAUGAAAAAAGAUAAGGCCAAUCAAAAGGAAUCAAAAAGCCGAGUCUAUCACAGUUAAAUUAGACUUUUAAAUAUGCUAUUGAGAUCAGAGGGGUUUGCGUGCAAUUGUCUCCUUAACUUUGGCAGGGAAAUCAUUAAUCAUUUGAUGUUAAAUUUAGGCAGAUUGUUGAAUAAAUGAGCACACUAGGCCCACAUGGUGCUGAACCAAAAGGAAAAAGAGAGGGAUGAGAGAAAGGAGAGGAAAGGAAAAAGGGGAGCUCUCCUCUCGGCAGGCCCCUGGGAAAAGCAGAUCCAGUCUUGGUGGUCAUCUCAAGCCUCAGUCUUUGGACGCCAGCCUUCUUAAAUGGCAAAUCUUUUUAAGAGCUUGAAAAUCUUGCCAAGUCCGAAGAUAGAACUCACUCUGAUACCGAGCGGCUUUUAAUAGAAGUGACCUCAGGGAGGGUAUGAGCGGUGUGUCACUUCAGGGCUUACGGAGUCCAUGUGGUGGUCAUCUGAUGAGCUUCCCGGUUUCCUGUCAUCACUGGGCACCAGUGAGCGCAGACCAGGUGCAGGACAGCGCUGGGGAGACCUGAUGCUUCUGAUUUAAUGAGGCUUCAUGGGUGUGGCUCCCUCCUGCCUCCUAACACAGCCACGCCAACCCAGGUUUAAAGACCCGGACUUCUGGAGUUCAGGCAGAAUGGGAUCGGCGGUGUCUCUGGAGCGCUGGGAUGCAUGUUCGAUCCCUGGCCCGGAACGGUGGGUUAAGGAUCCUGAAGCUGUGGCGUAGGUCACAACUGUGGCUCGGAUCUGAUCCGGGGAAAUCCCUCUGCCUCGGAGUGACACAAAGAAGGUAAGAAGGAAAAAAAAAAAAAAGGGACCCUGAGCCUCGAGUUCUGCUUUCUUUCUCUGUUCGCCUUACAGCAGAGUGAGACAAAGUCAGCAAUUUGAGACAUACAGACAGCAGAUCAAGGAAGCCAGAGAAAGAGACGUCUCUUGGACUCCAGGAACAGGCUGCAUGGGCCUAUCUUCUGUUAACUGGCCAUCCUCUACAGUUUAAAUCGUCUGUUAUGUAACCCUUCCAGAGUAAAACCCUGAACCAGCCAGCUGGGACCUGCUUGGCCAUAUGAGGACAUUAUUCAAAUGGUCCCAGGUCACUCAAUUAUCCAUCAGAGUCUGCAUGGAGCAUCUAUGCAUUCGGGUCACAAGAUUGUAUAAAAUGCUGCAGGGAACACAGGAGUGGAGGCGAUGUGGCCCUUGCCACCAAAGAGCCUGUUCCUUUCAGACUUACUGUUUAUUUCCUAGCAGGCAAUAUCUAAAUCAUCCCACCCCGCCGCCUCCAGCCAAAGACCUGUAUUAUUUUCUCAGGCAGCUUGAGACGCUUAUUAGACUCAUCUCAGUCAGUGUGAAUGUUAAGCCAUCACCAAAUGUCUUCAUCUACCUCCCCCUCCGCCUGGUAUGUUUCCCUUCCAGGUCCAGGCCCUGGUUUCCAGCCCACAUGGCUUCCCUGGGGGUGACCUCCUCAUGGCUCUUCCCUCCUCAGAAUCUACCGAUCAUCCUGCACAGGUGAACAAAUUCAUUUUGCAAAAAUUCCAGUUCCAUCCUAUCACCUUCUAGAAGAAGCCACUGAUGGUCCCUGCCACCCACAAGCUCAAAUUCAGAACCCAGAAAUGGGCACCCAGAACAGGACCCCCUGCUGGCACUGAUGUCAAGUUAAGAGAUGUGGCAUAAGUGACAUCAUCUGGCCAGUGGCGUUUCCAGCCAGGCCAGAAUAUGUUCAGCGAGAAUCACAUUUGAACUGGCCUCACCUACGGUAUUUCAGGCUGCAUUAAUUUUUGUGAGUGGCACCCACCUUUGUGCAUAUAAAUUGGGUAAUUACACUAGGAAAUUGGAAUUUUUGCAUUUCGAAUCAGCACCUGUAAAUAACAGAAGGCGAUGGAAGGAAGGCCCAGUGAAACUCUGGCCCCUUAAUAUUUGAAAGCAGCACUUUGUAGACAGCUUGGAGACUAAAAGGUUUUGCAGCAUCCUCACCGAAAAAGAGUGGGAAUAAAAAGCAGAGGACCUCACCAUUUGUCUGUACAUUAUUUUCUAUUUAAAAAUAAUAAGAUGCUGUAGAAAAGUUGAAACACGAAAAUUACAUCUUUGGUCAUCUCAGCUCAACUUCCAGCAGAGUAACAAUUGUCACAAAAUUACCAUACUGGGGUUGGACAUAAUUUGCUACAAGUUGACGGCCUGAAAGCUCACAUCUAUCCUGGUACUGUGAGUCCUGUGCUUUUGCCCUUCCAGAAAAAGCAGGGAUGUUUAAUGGACUUUGUUGAGGAUUAACUUUGUCAAUCAGCCAUAACUGGUAAAGUUCUGUCAACUGAUAUAUGGAAAUAUCUGUGUUGAUCUGGAGUAAAUCAAAGCCUCAUUUCUGCCACGAGGAAACUGAUGACGUGGUUGGUGAAGCUAACGUCCAAGGCAUGUCUGCAGCGCACCCAGCCACUUACCUGGGUUAUGCCGACUCAUCUCAACAACCACUGUGAGUUAGAAUUGGCUCUGCGUCAGAGAUUUAGGAAACCAGGAGAGGUUAAAGAAAGUAUUCAAACACCCUCAGGGGGCCAAUGGCAGAACUAGGACUUAAGACCAGUCGGUCUAAGUGAGUGGUUCUUAAUCAGAGAUGGAGGAGCUGGCGGGAAGCCUCGGACCUGUGGUCCGAGGGGCAGGACAGCCCAGAACUGUGGCUCCUAGGGUGUCCUUCCUUGAUGUUAAUGAACAAAGUGAGAUUGGAAGCUUUCAGGAGUUCCCACUGUGGCUCAGCAGUGGAAAAACCUGACUAGUAUCCAUGGGGAUGUGGGUUCGGUCCCUGGCCUUGCUCAGUGGGCUAAAGAUCAGGCCUUGCCACAAGCUGCAGCAUGGGUCACAGAUGUGGUUCAGAUCUGGCGUCGCUGUGGCUGUGGCGUAGGCCUGCAGCUGCAGCUCCGAUUCCACCCCUAGCCUGGGCAUUUCCAUACACUGCAGGUGUGGCCCUAAAAAGAAAAAAAGGGGGAGGGAACUGCCCCCCCAAAGGCAAAAACUAAUAAAGAGUUUUAAGAUGUAUCUCUGUAAAUUAAAUUUAAUGUAUGCAAAAUCUAUGGUAAGUCCCGGCUGUUUUUAUGAUAAUCAAUAAGAGAUCUUCUCCCCAGAGAGAAAACGGGUACUAGAAAUACAAGCUGCACCAGAAGAGGAGUUCUUACUGAGGAUCUACUUUCCUAGAAAAAUGAUCCUUUGUCACCUUAAAGAAGUGGUGUUGCCUCUGCACAUCAUGACAGGCUUUCUGAGCUGAGUCAAGCUGUGAUCACUUUCUACCCCUCGUUCGCACAGAAUCGUGGCUGGGGCAGGAGCUGGGACAGGUGAAAGGAAGCUGUUUGAAGAGAGAGGCCUCAACUCAUUUAAAAUAAUAAAAUGACUGCCUUCCUUCGGAAUCGGGCAGGACUCUGGCCUAAAGAGGUUUGGGGAUAAUGAUCUUGCCUGAAUACGUGCAGAGUUGAUGCUCCAAAAUGGCCACGGCAUCCAGUCCGUGUCACGGCUAAACUGCACCCAACCUUGACAACCCCCGUCACGGGCAGACGGGCCUUUCCAUAAACCGUUAGCUCUGCCCCAGGCCCUGUGGCCUAAAAAGCAUCGUUUGUUCUUUAAAGUACUGACACUCGGCCAUCUUUUCUCUCUCCAAUUCCACAGUCACAGGUCGGUCUGGGGACAGGCUGUCCAUUGUUCUCUCCUUGUUUCACUGGUGGGCUCUAUCCUAUGGCAAGGUUUUUUUAAUUGACUCUCAGAUGAUUGUAAGGGUAGCUCAUGAAUCAGAACCCGGGGCUCUCCAUGUGACCGCCGGCUCUCACAGAUCUGUAUAAACUUCUAAAUAGUUUUGGAGAAAGGCAAGCGCCUGUGUGUGUGUGUGUGUGUGUGUGUGUGUGUGUGUGUGUGUACUAAUUCGAG
rnacentral:lncRNA from 9 species